rnacentral:tRNA from 1 species
UGGCCGAGUGGUUAAGGCGACAGACUCGAAAUCUGUUGGGAUUUUCCCGCACAGGUUCAAAUCC